rnacentral:rRNA from 1 species
GACGAACGCUGGCGGCGUGCUUAACACAUGCAAGUCGAACGGAAAGGCCCUGCUUUUGUGGGGUGCUCGAGUGGCGAACGGGUGAGUAACACGUGAGUAACCUGCCCUUGACUGUGGGAUACCUUCAGGAAACUGGGGCUAAUACCGGAUAGGAGCUCCUGCUGCAUGGUGGGGGUUGGAAAGUUUCGGCGGUUGGGGAUGGACUCGCGGCUUAUCAGCUUGUUGGUGGGGUAGUGGCUUACCAAGGCUUUGACGGGUAGCCGGCCUGCGAGGGUGACCGGCCCCAUUGGGACUGAGAUACGGCCCAGACGCCUACGGGAGGCAGCAGUGGGGAAUAUUGCACAAUGGGCGGAAGCCUGAUGCAGCAACGCCGCGUGCGGGAUGACUGCCUUCGGGUUGUAAACCGCUUUCGCCUGUGACGAAGCGUGAGUGACGGUAAUGGGUAAAGAAGCACCGGCUAACUACGUG